rnacentral:rRNA from 1 species
CCUACGGGAGGCAGCAGUAGGGAAUCUUCCACAAUGGGCGCAAGCCUGAUGGAGCAACGCCGCGUGUGUGAUGAAGGGUUUCGGCUCGUAAAACACUGUUAUAAGAGAAGAACGGCACUGAGAGUAACUGUUCAGUGUGUGACGGUAUCUUACCAGAAAGGAACGGCUAAAGACGUGCCAGCAGCCGCGGUAAU